rnacentral:lncRNA from 1 species
UAUAUUUGAAAGUCAUUUCAAUGAAGUCAUAUUAAUUAAUUAAUUCCUUCUUUCUCUUUUCUGUUUCUCUUCUUCAAUCUCCGGUGAUAGCCGAGAUACCCACUCUCAUAUUCUCUCAUGGUAUCAGAGCUUUCAAGCUCCACUUGUUGAUCGAGUUCAAUCAAUCCCUAUCAUGACGUGUUAAUUCCGUUGCGAAUCCUCCUCAAGGUAAAGUUGUGUAUUGGAAAAUAUCUGAUAUUCUUGAAACUUUCACCAGGACGGAGGAUGCGGUCUGGUUGGGUUAAUUUGGACAACCACUUUUGUUGCAGGUUUAGCCAGUGACCUCUCUAGAUGUUCAGGUUAGUUUACUUGGAUUGAACUUGCAAAACUGUUGAUUUUUCUUUUCCAAAGGUAUGUUGUUCCUAAACAAAAUAAACAAACAGAACAUAUCAUUAAUUGUAAAAUACAUCAUAAAUAACAUCGGACAGCAAAAUAUUUGAAAAAGAUAGCUAAGCUAAGAUGAUGCUUUAAAUUUCUUUUCGCCUUUAUAAUAUGAUUUCCUCAAUGAAUCAGGAUAACUUUUUAUUUAUAGGGAGUAAUUGGGUUAUAAUUUACCAAUAAAUCAAUAAUUCACAUUUUAUUAUUUUAAAUAUUAAUAACCUAUUUAUUUUUUAUUCACACUCAUGACUCAUCUGAAAAUUUAAUAGGCCCAGGUCGACCAAGGGUCCGGUUGUUAGGUUCGGUUCAAUGGUCAUAAAUUUUAAUACCGGCCUUGUGACCUUUGUCGUUUUCGGGUCGGGCCCAUUUCGGCCUAAAGCUUGAGUGGAUCUAAUCCGAUUUCCAUAUACUCUUUUGAUAUUAUUUUAUUUUAUAUAUUAUAAUAAAUAGAUAAAUAGGAAAAUUUGCACCGCUCUAAAAUAAUGACCGUCUUAAAUCUGACCAUUAAAUGUUAAUUAAAUGGUGAAAAAGAAAACCGCUAGUGUUAUAUAAAAAUCAUUAUUCAUUUUGGAAAAGAAUCUUUUAAAGUUAUAACCGAUUUUUGAAUUUUAUGUUUUAGGAGUUAACUGGUUUCUAUAUUAGACUUUUAGGGUUAGUAGACGUCACACAACUAUUAGAUUAAAUCCUCUAUAGAGUCUGGGUUCAAUCAUAAAUAAUCCAAAAACAAGUAUAUAAAUAGCAUAAUAAUUGUAUAUGUUUUCUUAACUUUAUUUAUUUUAAUAUAUUUGGAAGUCAUUUGACCGAGAUAAUUUUAAUUCUUUCUGUUUUUUGUUUCUCAUCUCCGAUCUGCGGUGAUCGUCGAAAAUACCUACUUGCAUAUUCUCUCAUGGUAUCAUAGCUUUCAUGCUCCACUUGGUGAGUUCAAUCGAUCCCUAUCGUGAUGUCGUAAUUCCGUUCCUAAUCCUCCUCAAGGUAAUGUUAUGGAUCGGAAAAUAUCUGAUUUUCUUGAAGCUUUCAGCCGGACGGAGAAUUGGGUCUGGUGGAUUCCGACAACCGCUUUUUAUUGCCGGUUUUGCCGUUGCCCUCUCUUAGAUGUUCAGGUUGGUUUGCUUGGUUUGAACUUGCAGAACUGUUGAUUUUUGUUUUCCAAAGGCAGAUUGUUCCUAAACAAAAUAAACAAACAGAAUAUAUCAUCAAAUGUGGACUACAUCCUAAAUAAAUGUAGAAUAUUUUUAAAAGGUAGCUAAGCUAACAUUAUGCUUCAAAUUUCUUCUCACCUUUAUAAUAUGAUUUCCUCAAUAAUCAGGAUAACUUUUUAAUUAUUGAGAGU